UUUACCUUCGUCAAGCUUUUUAUGUUUACUUUGAAUAUAUACUAUGUGCUUGAGUAUAUAUUUGUGAUGCAAGAAUAAUAACUAUUGUUAAGAGAAGGCUUAAGCUAAAGAAAUACCUUGUAUCUUGUAGCACAAUGAUACAGAUUCAUAGUUUUGACUACAAGUCGGAGAGGAAAGAGUUGGAAGAAAGAACUAGAAAAGCUAAUGUGAAAACAAGUCAUUCAGAAUCUCUCGUUUCGGACAUGGAGCUCACUCUCUUGCAGUGCUCGUGUAGCUCCCUUUCCUUGAUCUCAAAUUCUACUAGGGAGCAUCGUCAAUUGAGCAUUAGAGAAAUUCUAAUGACGUAUUUAUCGUGGCAUUUAUACUUCAGAAACUUUUCUGUAAUUAUAAAAAUAGUUUGACAAUAUUACUAUAGUUUAUGCCCUUUUAUUGUUAGCAAUAAUAUUUGUUUAUGAUAAUCAAACUACAAAAGAGAAAA